CAGUCGCCGCGGUAAUACGAAGGGUGCAAGCGUUAAUCGGAAUUACUGGGCGUAAAGCGUGCGUAGGCGGUUUGUUAAGUCUGCUGUGAAAUCCCCGGGCUCAACCUGGGAAUGGCAGUGGAUACUGGCAAGCUAGAGUGUGUCAGAGGAUGGUGGAAUUCCCGGUGUAGCGGUGAAAUGCGUAGAGAUCGGGAGGAACAUCAGUGGCGAUGGCGGCCAUCUGGGACAACACUGACGCUGAGGCACGAAAGCGUGGGGAGCAAACAGGAUUAGAUACCCCCGUAGUCCCUGUCUCUUAUAC
rnacentral:rRNA from 1 species